GACUCUUUAGCAUAGUGGUUAUUGUACUCGUCUCCAAUGUGAGAAACAGCAGAAAGCGGGGGGUCGGGCGUUCAACUCGCCCAAGGGUCA
rfam:Dictyostelium purpureum unplaced genomic scaffold DICPTscaffold_60, whole genome shotgun sequence.